ensembl:lncRNA
CUGUCCACAGCUGAUGGCUCUGGGGGAGCUGUGUGGGGAAGGACUCAGGUUUCUUUAAGGGGCUGGCCACUGCGAGUUUGGUCUUGUUCUCAAGGAGGCUUCCUGCCUACCCUGCCCACCAGAAGAUCUCUCUGAAUCCAUCACCAGCAGAGGAGGCUUGGGGAGCCAUGGCUCUUUUGGAGGAUCCUCACAAAAAGGGUGCCAGGCCCUAGGCUGCCAGGACUGUGUCCCCUGGGAGGCAGGGCCUUAUUCGCUGGAUCUGCAGUGAUCGGUGGUCUCAGGCAGGCUGCUCUCUGGUCCAAAGCAUUGCAGUUGGUGGCCACACCCAGGGCUGUGGUUCCUGCCAGGCAUAAAGUCCAACAGGACACCAACAAAACCAUGGCUGCCAGCUCCAGUGCCAUGAAGCAGGCGUCAGAGCUGCGGGGCUUCUGCCUGACCCUGACGCUGGAGACAAGGUUCUGCCAUCUCUCAAGCCAGGGCCCAGACAAC